rnacentral:lncRNA from 1 species
CGUAGAUCAGCGUAUUCCUUUAAUUGAGCAGUACACCCUGUUUGGUAUUAUCAUAUCUAUUCAGUUCUGAUUGAUAUAUACGUUUGACGAUCCUUCAUUAAAAGAAAUAUAGGCACUUAAACACUGAUAUUACUAUAUAAUAAAACUAUCAUUUUGGCUAGACAGCAACCAUCAAUCUUUUGAAUCUUAAACCUUCACCCUAGCCACACAAACACAUACAGGCAUAGUCGAUGCCUAACAAAAUUCAAGAAAUUCGUAUUUCUUUAUAUCCUCUACUGUAAAAUCCCUAUCUGCUUAGGAACUUGAAUAAUUGUGGUCAUUACACUCAAAUCUGAGAGUACUGAAAAUUACUGGAAGCCAGUUGAUUGAGUGAUUUUUAAACAUCCAGUGUCAAAUAUUUAUUCAAGCUCGGGACAAAAAAAACCAAAUUUACAAUAAAUACAACUUGGAGCUAGGUCCUGUAAUAGGUAUCGUCCAGGACGAAGGUCUGGAAAUUUAAAGAUAUUGGAUAGGAGCAGAAAUUUGCCUUUCAGUAUACCAACUACGAACUCCUAAAAGAGUUGCAUUCUCUC